UGGGGAAUUUUGCACAAUGGGGGAAACCCUGAUGCAGCGACGCCGCGUGAUUUAGAAGGCCUUCGGGUUGUAAAAAUCUUUUUUAUGGGAUGAAAAUGACAGUACCAUAAGAAUAAGGUCCGGCUAAAUACGUGCCAGCAGCCGCGGUAAUACGUAUGGACCGAGCGUUGUCCGGAAUCAUUGGGCGUAAAGGGUACGUAGGCGGCCCAGUAAGUUAGAAGUGAAAUAAUAUAGCUCAACUAUAUAAAGCUUUUAAAACUGCUAGGCUUGAGCGAUGGAAGGGAAAGUGGAAUUCCUAGUGUAGCGGUGAAAUGCGCAGAUAUUAGGAAGAAUACCGGUGGCGAAGGCGACUUUCUGGUCAUCAUCUGACGCUGAGGUACGAAAGCGUGGGUAGCAAACAGG
rnacentral:rRNA from 1 species